rnacentral:lncRNA from 1 species
GGGGGCGAGGCCGGCGCGUCGCUCGCGGGAGGCCGGGGAGCGGCAGGGGCAUGUGGAUACUGGCUCUCUCCUUGUUCCAGAGCUUCGCGAAUGUUUUCAGUGAAGACCUACACUCCAGCCUCUACUUUGUCAAUGCAUCUCUGCAAGAGGUAGUGUUUGCCAGCACCACGGGGACUCUGGUGCCCUGCCCCGCAGCAGGCAUCCCUCCUGUGACUCUCAGAUGGUACCUAGCCACGGGCGAGGAGAUCUACGAUGUUCCCGGGAUCCGCCACGUCCACCCCAACGGCACUCUCCAAAUUUUCCCCUUCCCUCCUUCAAGCUUCAGUACCUUAAUCCAUGAUAAUACUUAUUAUUGCACAGCUGAAAAUCCUUCAGGGAAAAUUAGAAGUCAGGAUGUCCACAUCAAGGCUGUUUUACGGGAGCCCUAUACAGUCCGUGUGGAGGACCAGAAAACCAUGAGAGGCAAUGUCGCGGUCUUCAAGUGCAUUAUCCCCUCCUCGGUGGAGGCGUACAUCACUGUCGUCUCAUGGGAGAAAGACACUGUUUCACUUGUCUCAGGUAGGCUUUGCAUCUCCAGAGUGCAAGAUGCCAUGCUCACCUUCUGAAAGGUUAUUUCAGAGAUGGAAUCGGGUCUCCAUGUAUGUGUUCAUUAUUAUUCAGAAUUAGUAUUCUUAAGAUUGAUGCUAUUUUAUAAGUAAACGAAAUAAGUGUUUUGUGUUGGCUUAUAAUGGCUUGAUUCGGAUAUUCUUUGGUGAGUUGACUGGUGAAGAGAAAUUAGUGACUGGCGUUGUAACUAUUGCCAUUAUGUUUACUUCUUUGAGAAAAUUGUGGUUUUAUGUCUGCUUCUGAAAACAAGGUAACAGUAUUGUGCAUCUGUGAGAGACCUCAGCGUUGCACAGAUAGCUGAUAUUCUGAAACUAAAAUCUGGAAGAUGGAAGCCCAGUUCUCAUGCACUUUGUGUGCCUUCCAGUGUCUUGAGAGUUAUGUUGUAUCUCUGACCUAUUUCUUGAAGAUUCUACUAAGAAUACAUAUGCAGAACUGCAAUGUGUAUUUGCAUAUGAGUAAUUUCUUGGCUUAUAUUUGAUGUCUAGAAAAGAUGAAAUUUAAAUUUAG